rnacentral:lncRNA from 1 species
ACAGAAAUGAGGUCGGCUUCUCCAGAGUGCACGAGCUAGGGAAGGGAGCGCCUUGAAAGCCAGGCUGCAGAAUUUGGCCAUCCUCAAACACCACCUUUAAUGGCAAAGGAGGGAUGGGAAAACUCCUGAAGACCAGGUAGCCAUGGAGUGCUACAUUUCUGGAUGGAAAGGGGACCACACAGGUGACACUUGGAGUGGCAGGUGCCCGGGAAGGAGUGCUGCGUGUGGGUUGGGGUGGGGUUUGAGGUGGGAGAACAGAGGAGGGCUUCACUCAGGGGUGGGCUUGGGGCUGGGUCAGGAAGAGGACUGACAAGCCUGGAGGGGUGAGAGUAUUUCAAAGAUCCCUGAGGGUCCUUUAGCUCUUGGCCAGAGAUGGGGCUGCAGGGGGAGAAACUGACCCUUAGACAGGGCCUGAUUUCUCUCUCUCUCUCUCCCUCCCUCCCUUCCUUUCUUUUCUUUUUUUGAGACAGAAUCUCACUCUGUCACACAGGCUGGAGUUCAGUGGCACAAUCUCGACUCACUGCAGCCUCCGCCUCCUGGGUUCAAGUGAUUCUCCUGCCUCAGCCUCCCGAGUAGCUGGGAUUACAGGCAUGUGCCACCACAAUUGGCUAAUUUUUGUAUUUUUAGUAGUGAUGGGGUUUUGCCAUGUUGGCCAGGCUGGUCUCGAAUUCCUGAUCUCAAGUGAUCUGCCCACCUCGGCCUCCCAAAGUGCUGGGAUUAUAGGCACAAGCCACUGUUUCCAGCCUGAUUUCUUAUACCUAGGUCUUCUUUCUUCCUUAGAGCAAGUCUGUGACAAAUCUAUAAUUAAUUUAAAAAAAUACACACAAGCAAACACGGGCUCAGAGUUGUGUAGAUGUAAGUGGUAGAAUCAGAACUCACACCUAAGUCUACGGGGCCUUCGGAGCCUGGGACCUUCCGUGGACUAACUGCUAAAACUUCUGCAGUCUCGAAGUCAGGGGGCAGAGCUAGGGAGCCCCACAAGCCUCAGAGGGCCAGAUAGGCUGGUGGUUAGGAGCACAGGUUUUAAAAUUAGACUGAGUUCACUCUCCUGGCUCUGCAGCUUGCUUGCUGUCUGGCCUUGGCCAAGUUAAUUUGCCUUUGUGUAGUUUACUUUCUUUCUCUAUAAAGUGGGGAUAUUAAUAGUACCUACCUCAUGGGGUUGUUGUGAGGGUUAAAUAAAUGUACUCCCAUGAAGAAUUCCGAACAGUGUUGUCAUUUGAUAAAUGUCAGCCAUUCUUACUCAGGAUGGAGCCAGGAUAUAGGGGCAUUAGGCCAGGCCAGGGAAGGCAAAGACCUCUAAGCCAGUGCUCCCUGCUGUCUUCACAUGUCUGUGAGUCUGAGCUACCUGUGCUGGUGGGGCCUGGGCUGUCUGGCUGCCCAAAGUGGCUGACACCCAUAAGUCAUUGUCCAUCUCCAGAUUUGAGUCCUACAGCCUCUUCCCAUCUAACUGGCAUGGAAACUGAGGCUCAGACAGGUUGCCGCAGAUCUGCUCUUUGAUUUGGGGCAAGUUAGUCCUAGAGCCCUACCCCCAACCCAGAAUCUGAAUCCUGGUCCGGGGUCUCUAAAUUACCCUGCAACUGGUUUAAUUUUUUCCAGGCGGACGCCAUCCUCAUGGCAGAAACAUUUUUUCUGUAAUCUUAUUUGCAACUGCUAAUGAGAAGCAGGGCCGCUUUCUGUUUCUAAACCUCAUCCACAUCUCUAAUUUGUUUCCAGAGGCUGGGGCUGAGGCUUCUUCCAUCUCUGUGAAAUAUUAGCAAUUAUUUCUCAAUUACUUCUCAUGGGGAAGGGAUUCUUGGAGACGGAAAUCUGGAAGCUGGGAGAAGCCAUAAGGAUGAUGUUUUGAUCUGACGUGAACCUUGCCGAGAGGCACACAUGCUCUGUCAUCCCUGCUCCAACUUGAAGGCUAGGCUGGGUGGCAUAUGACUCUGUCCCCGUCUCUUUCCUCACUGAGCCUCCGGCCCAGCUUGGUUCCCAAACAUGGAGCUGCUGCAGGUCUCAGAAGCCACAGAGAACUGGGGAGGGAAAGGGAGGAGAAAAGUCUUCUUUGUAGUCUCACUAAACGCAGCUCUGUCACUACAGCUUAUAGGAUCACAGGCCUUAGGGUCAUCCUUGGCUCUUUCUCUCACACCACAAACCCAAUCUAUGAGUGAAUCCUCUGGGUUCUACCUUCAGAAUCCAUCCAGAAUCUGACUGCCUCUCACCAUCUCCACGGCUCCCUUCUAGUCCAAGCCAGCAACAUCAUCCACCUGGAUUAUUCAGUAACACCCUGACUAGUCUGCCUGCUAUCACCCUUUGCACAGAAGCCAGGGGGAUUGUUUUGGAAUUCCACUUUUCACGCAACUAUUUGUCCUUUUAGCUAUAGUACUUUGCAUUUUUUAAAGUGGUUUUUUUUUCAGUUCUAGAGAUUACACAUAUGUCCUUAACUUUUCACAGUCAGUUUAGAGUUAAUACUUUAUCACUUUAUGUAAAAUAUAAACCUCUUACAAAUAUUUGCCAUCCCCAUUGUAUGCUAUAGUUUUCAUAUGCAUUACAUCUAUAUACAUUAUAAACCCUAUAAGACAAUGUUAUCAUUUUUGCUUUAGUUAUCUGCAUAUUAAGGAAAUUAAGAGGAAAAUUAACUUAUAAUUUUAUAUAUUUAGCAAUAUUUUACCAUUUCUGAUGUUUUUUAUUUUUUAUUUUUCUUGAGGAUCCAGUGCCUCUUUGAUUUUAUUUUGCUUCAUUCUGAAGAACUUCUUUUAGUAUUCUUAUAGUCCAUGUCUUCUGGUGACACAAUCCAUACAUUUUCUUUUAAAUGAAAAUGUAUUUUGCCUUCCUUAUUAACUAAUAUUUUCACUAGAUUUAGAAAUCUGGGUUACAGCUUUUUUUUUUCUUUGCCCUUUAAAUGAUGUUACAAUGCUCCUUCUGUACUCGUGGGGAAUUGGGUUCAGGACCUCCCCAUGGAUGCCAAAAUCCGUGGAUGCUCAAGUCUUUUAUGUAAAAUGGCAUAGUAUUUGCAUAUAACUUCUGCACAUUCUCUCAUACACUUUAAAACAUCUCUAGAUUACUUAUAAUACCUAAUACAAUGUAAAUGCUAUGUAAAUAGUUGUUGUAUCAUUUAAAAAUUUUUACUCUUUUUUAUCGUUGUAUUGUUAUAUUUUAUCUUUGAAAAAUAUUUUCCAUCUGAGGUCCCAUGACUGUGUUCUGCUUCAGGCCUCCAUAGUUUCUGGUAAGAAGUCUGUGGUUAUUUGAAUCUUUGUUCCUCUUUGUAAUGUGUCUUUUUUUCUCUGGCUGCUUUCAAGGUUUUCUUUUUAUCUUUUAUUUUAGCAGUUUGAAUGAGUGUAUGUAAAUUUGUUUUGCACCAAUUUGCAAAGUGGGUGUUGUUGUUUUUUGCCACUAUUUAUUUCUUUUUUUCUCUUUCUCUCUCUUUUUUUUUUUUUUUUUUUUUUUUUCUGAGAAGGCUGCUGGUCUUGAACUCCCAUGCUGAAGCGUCCUCUAGCCUCAGCCUCUUGAGCAGGUGGGUUUGUGCCACCAUGCCGUUUUGCCAUUAUUUCUUAAGAAAAAAAAUUAUGCUCUCUUAUUCCUCUCCUUCCUUCUGGCACUCCAAUUAUGCAUAUAUUAGAUCUCUGACGUUAUCCCACAGGCCUCUUAGACACUGUUCACUCUUUUAUACCCCCCCUUCCCCUGCCCUCUUUUUUUUUUUUUUUAGGCUAAAUGGCUUUUGUUGAUCAACUUAAGCUCACAGCUAUUUAUUUAUUUAUUUAUUUGUUUAUUUUUGAGAUGGAGUCUUGCUCUGUCACCCAGGCUGGAGUGCAGUGGCAUGAUCUCAGCUCCCUGCCUCCUGGGGUCAAGGCCUCCUGCCCCAGCCUCCCGAGUAGCUGGGAUUAUAGCUGUGCGCCACCAUGUCCAGGUAAUUUUUUGUAUUUUUAGUAGAGACAGGGUUUCACCCUGUUGGCCAGGCUGGUCUCAAACUCCUGACCUCAGUGAUCUGCCUGCCUCGGCCACCUGAAGUGAUGGGAUUAAAGGCGUGAGCCAUCAUGCCCGGCCAUCUUCAUUCUGUUUUAGGCCUAUACAGUAAUUGUUUAAAAUAUUCCAGGUAUUGUAUUUUUUAGUACUGGAAUUUCCACUUGGUUCUUUCUAUAUUUUUAUUUCUCUUUAGAGGUUUCCUAUCUCUUCAUUUAUUAUGAAUGUAUUUUCUUUUGCCUUGUUUAGCACAGUUAUAAUAACUGUGGUACUUGUCUGAUAGCUUCAAAUUCUGGGUCAUCUGAGAGUUGAUCUCCAUUGACUAUCUUUACCCUUGAGGAUGGAUUAUAUUUUCCUAAUUUCUUGUGUGUUGAUUUUGGGUUUUAUCCUGGACACUGGAAAUGCUAUGUUGUAGAGAUUCUGGAGUUUGUCAUAGUCCUCCAAAGAGUGCUGACGUCUUUGUAUUAGCAGGCAUUUCACCUGGUUAGACUCAAACUACUAACUGUUUUGCCUUUAGUGGGCUGCACCUCAAAUCACAGCUCAGUUCUUUAAGCCUUAGUUGCAAGUUGUCUUGAAUCUUCUCUAUGCAUGUGUGAUUCAGAAGUGAGCCAGAUACUUGAUCAGAGUUUACUAACAGAAUUUGGGCCUUUUCUGGCACUUUCCUUUCCAGAAAAUCCCCCUUCCUUUCCAGGGGCUCUGGUUGCUCUAGGUUCUGUCCUCUGGUUCUUCAGGCCAUAUAAACAGCAUUUUCUACUGGACUUUUAGCAGCCCUGAACAAGGCCACAGCUGCAGCCUGCCCUCUGGGUAAAGUCAUCAAAGUGGAAAACUUACCACAUACUGGUCCCUUCUUACAAGUUUCAACAUCCUUCCAAAAUCUGCCUGCUUUUGGUCAUUCUGGUCUUUUGAUCAUUUUGAUUAUUUCAGAGCCCUCCAGCAAUUGUUUUCUGUAUUAUAUCCAGAAUUUAUAGAUAUUAUUUGUGGAAGGGUAUACCUGUUAGGAGAUCACUCCACUCCACUGGAAGAGGAACUUCCAGAGUGUCCUUUUUAAAACUUCUCAGACUGUGCCAUUCCUCCCCUCAACUCUCCCCACUCUCGAUGGCUCCCAUUUUACUCAAAAGCCCAAAUGCUCACAAUGGCCUAUGAAGCUGAGAAUAAUCUAGCUUCAGACUGUGUCUGACCUGUGCCCUUUUACCUCACCUUUGCUCAUUGGUGGCCUCUUUGUUGUUCCUCAAACAUACCUGCCUGAUACACUCUUACAAGACAGCUCCAUGGCCGGCAAGGCCCUGCCCCCUCCAGCCCCAUCUUUAGCCAUUUGCCCCGACUCUUGACACUCCAUCCCCACUGGUCUGUGGUCAGCCUCGGCUCAGGCCAUGUCCUUUUCCACCGUAGGGCCACUUCUUCUGCCUGCAGCAACCUUUCCUAGACUUUUCUUCUGUAUAUUAUUCCUACUAAUCCUUCCCUCUCGUAGAAAUGACUGCUUCUGGCCAGGCGCGAUGGCUCACACCUGUAAUCCCAGCACUUUGGGAGGCUGAGGUGGGUGGAUCACCUGAGGUCAGGAGUUUGAGACCAGCCUGGCCAACAUGGUGAAACCCCAUCUCUACUAAAAAUACAAAAAUUAGCUGGGCGUGGUGGCGCUGCCUGUAAUCCCAGCUACUCAGGAUACUGAGGCAGGAGAAUCACUUAAACCUGGGAGGCAGAGGUUGCAGUGAGCCGAGAUCGUGCCAUUGCACUCCAGCCUCUGGGUGACACAUCGAGUCUCCCACUACAAGAGGUGAUUGGUACUCUCAGGGUAUGUAACACUUCUUCAUACCAUAUCACACACUUAACAAUCAUUUAUUUACUGGAAAUGCUUUGUUUGCUCAUUAAUUUUGAGUGCUGUGAGGGCAGGCAUUCCAUUUGUUUUCCUCCUUUCUGCACCCCAGGCACCCAGCACAUACUAGGCACCCAGUAGAUACCUGGCAUCUGACUGUCAGGGCCCAGCAUGGAAGCCGAGGCAGGUCAGUGAGGAACCUUUAAGAAGUCCUUGCUGUGUACACAGCCUUACAAUGUAUGUGGGUAGCUAUUUCACCUCCUUGUUACUUUUAGAGAAAUGGAGGCUCUGAGAGGAGAAAUGGCUUACCCAACGUCAUGCGACUAGAAAUUCCAGCUUGAAGCCUCAUGGCAGGAGAGCUCAGACCAGCAGAGAGACCUCAGAUUGCUCCCAGCCUUGGCCUGCCUGUCACACUUCCUCUUUGCCCUGGCAGCUGCAGGGUUGUUGACUGCACAGAGUUUUUCUUCCCUUUUCCUUUCUUUCUCUCUCUCUCUUUCCCUCCCUCCCUCCUUCCUCUCUGUGUCUGUCUCUGGUGUCUGAGUUAGUUCCUUAUGGUGAGUUCUUGGUCUCCCUGACUUCGAGAAUGAAGCCGUGGACCUUCGCGGUGAGUAUUACAGCUCUUAGAGGUGGCACAGACCCAAAGAGUGAGCAGCAACAAGAUUUAUUGUUAAGAGUGAAACAACAGAGUUUCCACAGCCUGGAAGGGGACCCAAGGAACUUGCCACUGCUGGCUGGGGUGGUCAGUUUUUAUUUCCUUAUUUGUCCCCGCCCACAUCCUGCUGAUUGGUCCAUUUUCCAGAGUGCUGAUUGGUCCAUUUUACGGAGUGCUGAUUGGUCCAUUUUACGGAGUGCUGAUUGGUCCAUUUACAAUCCUCUAGCUAGACACAGAGGGCUGAUUGGUACGUUUUACAAUCCUAGCUACAGAGUGCUGAUUGGUGCAUUUAUAAUCCUUUAGCUAGACACAGAGCACUGAUUGGUGCAUUUACAAUCCUCUAGCUACCCAGAAAAUUUUGCCAAGUCCCCACUUGACCCAGGAAGUCCAGCUGGCCUCACCCUUCACUUUCUGUUUCCCCAGGAUUCACAACUGGGCUCCUCUUGCUGUGUUGGAGGGAGAUGUUUCACCUGAGCACCAUGUUUCACAUGGCAGUGGGGCAAGGCACUGAGGCUGUGUGGCAUGGCACCACAGGGUGGCCACUGGUCCCUGAGUCGGCAGACCUGGCUCUCUUUUCCCUGCCAUGCUGACUUCAUGUUUAUGGCUAAGAAGCCUCUCCCAGGGAGCAGCUGAGCUUCAGGGGCAUUCCUGGAGCGUCCAGGAGAGCAAUAUGGCCCUUUGCUGGUGGAGAACCUGAGACCCUCAAGGAGAAAGUGAAGAAAAUUCUCUCUGCAUACAGACCCCUUCCCAUUUUCCCAUUCUGGGUUGACUAUCCUCCCUCAUAGAUGUGCUCAUGAGUCUUGGAAAUUCUCUUGACUCAUUGCCAUUUAAAAUAUCUGUGUUGCUUCU